AUUGAACGCUGGCGGCAUGCCUUACACAUGCAAGUCGAACGGCAGCACGGGAGCAAUCCUGGUGGCGAGUGGCGAACGGGUGAGUAAAGUAUCGGAACGUGCCCAGUCGUGGGGGAUAACGUAGCGAAAGUUACGCUAAUACCGCAUACGAUCUAUGGAUGAAAGCGGGGGAUCGCAAGACCUCGCGCGAUUGGAGCGGCCGAUAUCAGAUUAGGUAGUUGGUGGGGUAAAGGCUCACCAAGCCGACGAUCUGUAGCUGGUCUGAGAGGACGAACAGCCACACUGGGACGGAGACACGGCCCAGACUCCUACGGGAGGCAGCAGUGGGGAAUUUUGGACAAUGGGCGAAAGCCUGAUUCAGCCAUGCCGCGUGCAGGAUGAAGGCCUUCGGGUUGUAAACUGCUUUUGUACGGAACGAAAAGGUUUGGCCUAAUAAGCUGAGCUCAUGACGGUACCGUAAGAAUAAGCACCGGCUAACUACGUGCCAGCCGCCGCAGUAA
rnacentral:rRNA from 1 species